GUAAUCAAUCUGAAAUGAGGUGACUAGGGUGGACCUUAAUCUAAAAUGACCAGUGUCCUUUUAAAGAGGGGAAUUUUGGACACAGAGGCAGACAUGCCGAGGAGGAAGACAACAUGAAGAAGCACAGGAAGAAGACGGCCAUCCACAAGCCAAGGAAUGCUUUGGCCAGCAGUGCCCAACCUUUUUGGCACCAGGGACCAGUUUCACGGAAGACAAUUUUUCCAUGACUGUGGGUGGGGGAGGGGGAGUGAAUAGUUUCAGGAUGAUUCAAGCACAUUACAUUUAUUGUGCACUUUAUUUCUAUUACUACUACAUUGUAAUAUGUAAUGAAAUAAUUAUAUAACUCACCAUAAUGUAGAAUCAGUGGGAGACCUGAGCUUGUUUUCCUGCAACUAGGCAGUCCCAUCUGGGGGUGAUGGGAGAAAGUGACAGAUCAUCCGGCCUUAGAUUCUCAUAAGGAGCAUGCAACCUAGAUCCCUAGAAUGCGCGGUUCACAAUAAAGUUGGCACUCCCGAGAGAACUGAAUGCUGCCACUGAUCUGACAGGAGGCAGAGCGGUGAUGCGAGCGAUGGAGAGUGGAUGUAAAUACAGAUGAAGCUUUGCUUGCUCGCCCACUGCUGUGUGGCCUGGUACUGGUCUGUGGCCCAGGGUUUGGGGACCCCUGCUUUAGGCUACCAGAAGCCAGGAGUAAGGCCUGAAAAAGAUGCUUCCCCAGUGCCUUCAGAGGAAGAAUGGCUUUGCGAACACCUUGAUUUCAGACUUCUGGCUUCUGUAGCUGUGAGACAAUCCAUUUCUGUCAUUCUUUUUUUUUUGAAAUGGAGUCUCACUCUAUCGCCAAGGCUGGAUUGCAGUGGCACGAUCUCGGCUCACUGCAAGCUCUGCCUCCCGGAUUCAUGCCAUUCUCCUGCCUCAGCCUCCCAAGUACCUGGGACUACAGGCGCCGGCCACCACGCCUGGCUAAUUUUUUUUUUUUGUUUUGUAUUUUUAGUAGAGAUGGGGUUUCACCAUGUUAGCCAGGAUGGUCUCGAUCUCCUGACCUCGUGAUCCGCCCACCUCGGCCUCCCAAAAUGCUGGGAUUACAGGUGUGAACCACUGCACCCUGCCACAUUUCUGUUCUUCUAAGCCACCCAGUUCAUGGUACUUUGUUAUGGCAUCCCUAGGAAAUGAACAUGUGUGCAGUAGAGCAUUUUCCCACUAAAAGCCACACCCUUGGGACUGCAGCCCUGUGAAGACUGAGGUUCUGACGAAAGUCAAGAAAAAUCUGCAUUGCAACUCUUCGAAGAGAAGAAUGUGACAUCUUGUGUCGUUUUCCAGAGGCAGCUGCAUAAAUCACAGGAGACUGAAUACAGGAGAAGAUGUAAGAAUCCAGUCAGCUUCUAUCAAACCAGACAUAAAAGACAUUUGCAGAUAUGUAAAACAAUGCCACUCUUCACAUUGCAUUUUUAAAAAAUAUUAUUUCCCAGAAAAUAUAUCAUCUAUGUUAAUAUGGAAUGGGGUUUGUUAUUCUUAUUUUAAGUAAGGUAUUAUAUAAAUAUUUUUAAUGUCUCAGUUUUAAUUUCUAAUGAAGUCAAUAUCAAUAGAUGUAAUCUAUAUAAACCAAAGUUCUCCGGGGUCUUCAAGAGUGUAAAGGAGUCCUGAGAUCAAAAGGGAUGAAAACCUCUGCCCUACCCUGGCCACCUAAGGGGCUGAAGCCCUCCAGGAGCAGUGCUCCCGGCUCUUGCUGCUGCCCCAGAGCUGAGGGUUUUGGAGCACUGGUGCCCUACAAAACGGAGAGACUGGAAGGAGUUUUCUGGGUCAUGAGGUUGGAACUGCUGGCAGAAGAUCACAGCAUAACUUUCUUCUGGGUUAUAGGAAGAAAUAUAUAAGUAGA
rnacentral:lncRNA from 10 species